UACGGAGGGUGCGAGCGUUGUCCGGAAUCACUGGGCGUAAAGGGCGCGUAGGCGGCCUGAUAAGUAGGGGGUGAAAUCUUGCGGCUUAACCGCAAGGCUGCCUUCUAAACUGUCGGGCUAGAGCACAGUAGAGGCAGGUGGAAUUCCCGGUGUAGCGGUGGAAUGCGUAGAGAUCGGGAAGAACACCAGUGGCGAAGGCGGCCUGCUGGGCUGUUGCUGACGCUGAGGCGCGACAGCGUGGGGAGCAAACAGG
rnacentral:rRNA from 1 species